AGGACGAACGCUGGCGGCGUGCCUAACACAUGCAAGUGGAGCGACGAACCGGGGCUUGCCCCGGGGCAGAGCCGCGAACGGGUGAGUAACACGUGGGUGACCUACCCCGAUGACUGGGACAACCCGUCGAAAGACGGGCUAAUACCGGAUGUGCCCCUUGGGGGAAAGGAAGCUUCGGCCUCCGCAUCGGGAUGGGCCCGCGGCGCAUUAGCUUGUUGGUGGGGUAAUGGCUUACCAAGGCGACGAUGCGUAGCUGGUCUGAGAGGACGAUCAGCCACACUGGGACUGAGACACGGCCCAGACUCCUACGGGAGGCAGCAGUGGGGAAUCUUGCACAAUGCGCGAAAGCGUGAUGCAGCAACGCCGCGUGGACGGAAGGAAGGUCCGUUAAGGGUUACGUAAACCGCUUUACAGUUGGGACGAAGCUUCGAGUCGUUAAUAGUCGGUUGGAGUGACGGUACUACAGAAGAGCGCCGCUAACACGU
rnacentral:rRNA from 1 species